rnacentral:rRNA from 1 species
GAGUUUGAUCCUGGCUCAGGAUGAACGCUAGCGGCAGGCUUAACACAUGCAAGUCGAGGGGCAGCACGUCUUCGGAUGGUGGCGACCGGCGCACGGGUGCGUAACGCGUAUACAAUCUACCUUUUACAGGGGCAUAGCCCAGGGAAACCCGGAUUAAUAUCCCAUGGUAUCAAGGACAUGCAUCAUGAUUUGAUUAAAGCUUCGGCGGUAAAAGAUGAGUAUGCGUCUUAUUAGUUAGUUGGUAAGGUAACGGCUUACCAAGGCAGCGAUAGGUAGGGGUCCUGAGAGGGAGAUCCCCCACACUGGUACUGAGACACGGACCAGACUCCUACGGGAGGCAGCAGUGAGGAAUAUUGGACAAUGGGCGAGAGCCUGAUCCAGCCAUGCCGCGUGCAGGAAGACGGCCCUAUGGGUUGUAAACUGCUUUUACAGAGGAAGAAACACCCCCUCGUGAGGGGGCUUGACGGUACUCUGCGAAUAAGGAUCGGCUAACUCCGUGCCAGCAGCCGCGGUAAUACGGAGGAUCCAAGCGUUAUCCGGAAUCAUUGGGUNUAAAGGGUCCGUAGGCGGGUAAUUAAGUCGGUGGUGAAAGUCUGCAGCUCAACUGUAGAAUUGCCAUUGAUACUGGUUAUCUUGAGUUAUUAUGAAGUGGUUAGAAUAUGUAGUGUAGCGGUGAAAUGCAUAGAUAUUACUCAGAAUACCGAUUGCGAAGGCAGAUCACUAACUAUGCACUGACGCUGAGGGACGAAAGCGUGGGUAGCGAACAGGAUUA